GGGGAAUAUUGGUCAAUGGGCGCAAGCCUGAACCAGCCAUGCCGCGUGCAGGAAGACGGUCCUAUGGAUUGUAAACUGCUUUUAUUUGGGAAUAAACCUCUUUACGUGUAGAGAGCUGAAGUUACCAAAUGAAUAAGCACCGGCCAACUCCGUGCCAGCAGCCGCCGUAAUACGGAGGGUGCAAGCGUUAUCCGGAAUCAUUGGGUUUAAAGGGUCCGAAGGCGGUCUUAUAAGUCAGUGGUGAAAGACGACAGCUCAACUGUAGAACUGCAGUUGAUACUGUAAGACUUGAGUUCGAACGGAGAGGGCGGAAUAUGACAUGUAGCGGUGAAAUGCUUAGAUAUGUCAAAGAACACCGAUAGCGAAGGCAGCUCACUAGGGCUGGAUUGACGCUGAGGGACGAAAGCGUGGGGAGCAAACA
rnacentral:rRNA from 1 species